AUACAUUUGUAUCUAGCGUAGGAAGUGUGCAAAGUUACGCCUUUAUAAGAUAUGAUGUGUGAGACCUGUAGGGAAUGCGUUGGAGCUCAAACUCUGUAAAAUCCC
rfam:Helicobacter pylori 26695, complete genome.